rnacentral:lncRNA from 10 species
CCAUCCUUGCCCUAGAAUGAGUAAAGGACUCAAGAGCGGACCUUACUAUGAGGAAGAAGAAGGGAGAGAAAAAGAAUAUAUCUCUCUGAAGUAUUUCAGCAGAAGAUAACAAAUAUUACUGGAAAGAGUUGAUGUGAAACCUGUGUACAAUUUUAGACGGUUCCCCAGGGCAUGUUCACUGACAUCAAGGUGCAGAACUUACUUUAAGUAGCACUACGUAUGAGGGCUGUACAUCUCACAAACAAAACAGAAAGACAAUAACUUUAGUAAAAAGAUGGAUACCAUUCAAGCCCAAGGAAAACCAAUGCUUCUUUUCAUCUAUGGACUCAAGUCUCAGAAAGCAGAGAAGUGAGUGUACCAAGUGCAACAAACGUUUGAGCAUUGUUCUGCUGCCAAUAUUGAAGACAGCCACUGCUUUGAAGUGUGGGGAGGAGAGCUAGAGCAUAUUUGCCUGCCACAGUUAGUUUUGUGUUUCCAUGGAAUUUGAGCAAAACUGAUGCACUUGUCUCCCAGGAUUAAUCCAUACAAGUCACCUCUAAAAUUAUCUUUUCCCAUUCGUUGACUGAGCAAAAUGGACUUCAAGGACCUAAAGGAGGUUAAAUACCACAAGAUGGAGGAGCUUGAGUCUCUGAAUCAUUGUGUGUGAAGUCAUCUGCCAAUUACAUAAAUUGAAUUCUUGGGAAUUCUUGGUAUGAUAGGACAUGAAAGCUGAGAGAAAACCCUUCUACCUAGGAACUCCGGAGUUUCAACUACCAGAGACUGAAGGCAGGAGAGAAAAACUAAGACAAAUGACUUCAAAGCCUUUCUGAAAUGCCACAGAGGGUCAGGAUUACAAUCUGCCUAUUCUGAUUCUUCUACUAUGGGAAAAAAUCUUUUUCAGAAUUGAUGUAAAGCCUCUGUUAAUACUUUUCCUGUUAACAACCUAACUAUUCAACUGCUGAAUAAAAACCAUUAGGACAACUAAAGAAACUGAGAGAUUUUGGCAAGAAAUAGUCAUUCCAAUAUCAAUGACUACGGAGGAAAUGCAAUUACUUUUCUUUGCUUAAGUUUUCCAGGGCCUUUCUCUGUUGCCCAGGCUGGAGUGCAGUGAGGCAAUCUUGGCUCACCACAAUCUCUCCCUCCUGGAUUCAAGCAAUUCUCCUGCCUCAGCCUCCCGAGUAGCUGGGAUUACAGGCAUGCACCACUACACCCGGAUAAUUUUUGUAUUUUUAGUAGAGAUGGGGUUUUACCAUGUUGGCCAGGCUGGUCUUGAACUCCUGACCUCGUGAUCAGCCUGCCUCGGCCUCCUAAAGUGCUGGGAUUACAUGCAUGAGCCACUGUGCCCUGCCAACUUGUUAAAUUUUUAAUCAUUCUGCUCACCUUUUGCAACCUUACUGACUUUUGUGUCUACCUUAUCUAGCAGUGGCUGAAAUUUCCUUCUAUGAUUAUAGAUUUGUCUGUUAUUUCUUAUAGAUUUCUCAAUAUUGCUUGUAUUAUUAUUUUAAGUUAAUACCAUUAGGCAUAAAAAUUCAAAAUUGUUAUCGCU